GAUGAACGCUAGCGGCAGGCUUAAUACAUGCAAGUCGUGGGGCAGCAUGAGUAGCAAUACUUGAUGGCGACCGGCAAACGGGUGAGGAACACGUACACAACCUUCCUUCAAGCGGGGAAUAGCCCAGAGAAAUUUGGAUUAAAUACCCCAUAAUAUAUUUGAUAAGGCAUCUUAUUAAAUAUUAAAGCUUCGGCACUUGAUGAUGGGUGUGCGGCUGAUUAGAUAGUUGGCGGGGUAACGGCCCACCAAGUCUACGAUCAGUAGCUGAUGUGAGAGCAUGAUCAGCCACACGGGCACUGAGACACGGGCCCGACUCCUACGGGAGGCAGCAGUAAGGAAUAUUGGACAAUGGGACGAAAGUCUGAUCCAGCCAUGCCGCGUGAAGGAUUAAGGUCCUCUGGAUUGUAAACUUCUUUAUAUGGACGAAAAGGGCAUUCUUGUUCACUUGAC
rnacentral:rRNA from 1 species